UCAAACAAUUUAUAAAACAUCCUACAAAAUGAGUCUCUCCAAAAAAUAUAUAUUAAUCGCAUUUGUUUUCACUCUUUUCUUCGCGAUGUCAAUUGUUCGCUGCACCGAUAUUGUUUCAGAUUUCGGAGUAAAGUAUAAUGUGUGCUAUGGUCCAUGUGACGACAAAGGAGUGUGUAGGCCGUUUUGUUCUUCCAAAAAAGGUCUGAUAAGGGGAGACUGUGCUGGCAAACGAAAAGGUUAUCUUGGCCUUUGUUGUUGUGAUGAACACUAAAUAAAAUAUUAAAUAAUAUCAUUAGAUAUUAUAUCUUGUAUGAAAUGAAAUAAUAUUACCAAUAAUACAUAAAAUGCUUUUACAAAAAAAUAUAUAAAAUGUUAUCAAAUUGAAGUUA